AGGGUGGCGUUAUCUUGGUAUCCCACGACGAAAGAUUAGUACGAACUGUUUGUAAUGAAAUUUGGGUGUGUGGACAGAGAAAUAUACGUUCUAUCGAAGGAGGAUUUUCUGAAUAUAGACGUAUUUUAGAAGAUGAAUUUAAAAGAUUGUAAAUUUCGGAAAUUAAUGCAAAGAAAUUUAUGUAUAAUUAAUUUUAUUGCUGCCUGUUUUGUUUGCGAUACAGCGGUUUUGAGCAUUCCCAAAUUCGAAGAAAUGACAAGCAGUU